AUUUCACAUUUUUUUUGGUACUAAGUAAUUUUGGUACUAAGUAAUUAGAUUGGUCUAUAGCAUAUUUGUUUAAUAUUUAAUAUUGAGCAAUGCUGCUGGAAAUUUGCACUUGGAAAGGAACAUGUUAAUUUGGAGCAUGUUGGCCAUCCUGGAUGGGAGGACCUCGGUUCUAGAGGGGAAGGCAGAGGCCAUGUCUUGUCUGGUAUAUUUUUUACAGUGUUUAGCGCAGUAUCUCUUACAUGAUAUUGUUCAACAAAUGUUGAUUAAUUGAAUACAUGACGGAAUAAAUGAUAAGCAGAAUUAGCUCACUGCCAUCACCUGUGCCCAGAGACUGGUUUAAUAGAGAUCACCUGUCAGCCAGCAAUGACGAUGUGUUAGAUGCCACACAGCUCCAUCCUAUAUAUUCAGAGGAAGGAAUGAUAACCUGUCUUACUAGGUAGAGAGGCAGUAAAACUUACUGCUGUCCUAAAUUGUUGCCUCCAGACAAAUCACUAAGUGAAAGGUUGUAACUUUUUGUCUUCCUUAUCCACAUGUCUUUCAACUAGUCAGUAAUCUUUCUCUCUCAGGCUGAGUUCUUUAUCUGUAAACAAAAACAGUAUUUUAGAGGAACCCUUUAUGUCAUCUCCAAAUACUUAGUUUCCUAGAAUGUGUAGCUUUUCCCCUCAGACCCAUUGCAUUUUUCCAUUUUUAUAACCACUAAAUAUUGUUGGAGUUUUGCUGGUUGUAGGACAUUUCCUGGAACUUGUUUUUUCCAUAUCUUUGUGGUUAAACACCCAUUGUCUGAUAUCAAGGAGAAAGAGGUCCAGAAAACCCACAGGGAACCUUGAGCAAAGGGUGGAAAUGCCACUAAUAAUGGUGACAGGACACCUACAAUAUGGUGAAAUCUUGUUUUACAUGAUUUCUGCAUACCAGAAAAGACUUGGUGACUACUACUCAAGUCCCCCGACCUCUGCUUUUUUUUUUUUUUUUUUUUUUUUUUUUUUUUUUUUACCCAUUGGGUUAGAGAAGAAAACAAUUUCAACCUACAUAUUAUUGAGAUAAAAAGGCAGAGAAAGAAGAACAAGACCAGGCUCAAAAUGACCUUACAGUUGGGUAGUUUUGGGUAACGCAAUCCUUGGUGAACUUCAGUUUCCUCAUCUUUGAAAUGGGAGUGUCUAUCUUAGCACAGUGCUGAACAUAGGAAAUAUUCAAUACCUUGGGUAUCUACCCCAGACGUUAUUUUUUUCCUAGACUCAUACAACUUACCCUUAAUGUGCAUGUGAUUUCUUGUUAAUCAGAUAUUUUGAGCUCAAUAAUGUAAAACUAGGGACUAUUACAGUCAAAAUGAUUCAUCCUGAAGCCUUCUAGUUAUUUUAUUUGUGACUUUGAAUAUACAUUUUCAUAGAAUACCCUUGGUAAAACUAAAUUUAGAAAAACGAAGCCCCACAUUUACUUAAUAAUACCAAAUUACCUUCUUGGAUUCAAAUUUUACAAAUGUUGGAUUGAUAGAAUUCUGAAGAUAAUUUGGCAGCAGAUAUUUCUGUAUCAAUAUGUUGAACCAUCUGCUCUUUUGAAAUAAUCUAAUGACACAGACAAAACAUUAAAAUGUGUAUAUUUGUUAUUUGGUUGGUAAAUAAUUGAAGGCUCAUUAAUUUUUAUGAGAUUCAAAAAUCUCUGGUAGACUUUCUGAUUUUAGUAUAAUUUUUCAAUAUGUUUACUUUAUGGUAAAAUGAAUUAAUGUUAAGUGACC
rnacentral:lncRNA from 10 species